UUUUUUUUCCUUGAUUUUGGUGUAGAAGCUCUUGAAUUCGUAUAGCUGUGCAACCAUAAAUCAAAUCACCAUCGGUUGGCCACAUCCCCACAACUUUGAGAUACUUGUCAUCAUUCAAUUGGCCAACGGUCGUGUUGUUUAUGCAUUUUCCUGCCAUUAUUCUAUUGAUUUUAGACAAGAAACUGGCACUCAGAUUCUGCAAGAACUUGGGAUUCGUAUAGGAUUAUAUUCUCUGAAAAUCUCCAGCAUCUUGAUUUUGGCAUAUCAUACCCGAUUUUCCAGUGGGACUGAUCUUUGAAACCGAACUUUAUCCCUUAAGGUUGCACCUUACUGUGCAUCAAAAUGGGCGGUUGAAGGUUUGAGCAGAGCAGUGGCGAAGGAGGUACCUGAAGGAAUGGCAGUGGUUGCACUUAACCCAGGUGUGAUCAACACAGACAUGCUUGCUUCGUGCUUCGGCAACUCAGCUUCCCUAUACCAAGCACCAGAUACCUGGGCUGUUAAAGCUGCGACGAUGAUUCUGAACCUUACGGCAGCGGAUAACGGUGCAUCUCUGACGGUCUGAAGCUUUAACAAUACAUUUUAUUUUUCAGUUCCUGAUAAAUCUUUUGGUUAGAAAAUUUAUUCUGUAGAGAGUUUGCAAACACCGGCACUGUUCCAUGUCCAAAUUUCCUGUUAAGGUUUAGAAUAUGAAACUCAACUUUCUAACACAAAAUACUUUAUUCCUCA